GGGGGAUCUCCACGUGGAGCAGCCUUAUAUACUAGGGGGGAGGAGCCAGAAGGUGGUGACUGAACAUGCGCGAAGCUCAUUUCGCACUGGAAGCCAUUGUGAGGAGACCUCACUGUGGUGGUCCUCAGGCCUAGGCCUAGGCUGGCUGGUGGGAGGCUGGACUCACCCCUGGUGUGUUCGGAGUCCUCCCUGGAUGGCGGACACCAUUGCUGGGUGGCUGGAUCCCCAGCGAAGAACGGGAAGAGGUACACAUCUGGAACUGGGGGAUCUCCACGUGGAGCAGCCUUAUAUACUAGGGAGGAAGAGCCAGAAGCAUCAGCCCCUCUGGAAUGAGAUCCUCCGGAAUUCCAUAAUGCUUCCCACCCUGUUGACAUUCCAGAAUGCCUUGAAGACCUGAUUGUUCUCCCAAGCCUUGGGUUUAGCUGGAUGGAGUCCCUUGUUGAAUUAGUUUUUGUAUACAGCAAUGGUAUCCCAUCUGGUUGGUUUUGCAUUGUGUUUGUAUGGUUUAUUAUACUGUGAGUUGCCCAGAAAUGCUUUGGAGUCCGGAGUUGCCUAAGUUGAA